ACUGCGUCUCGCCAGCUCGGCACACCCCUCACGACUCUCCACCCUUGUGUGGGCGUGGCUGUCUGCCCAAUUUCUCCCUAACCCCACGGGACGCCAGCCUGGGAGAGGAGCAGCCCCCUGAGCUGCUAAAGACCCCUCAUCACCAGCUGGACCUACGGGGCAGGGAGCUGGUGUUGGGGAGAGGGCAGAUCCGCUCAGGGAGCCCAGGAACCUCUGGCCUCACUGCCUCAUCACCUGGCAUUCAAGGCCCGCUGCCAUCUCUAUCUUCCGUGGUUCUGAGUAUUUUGUGCCCCACCUGGACCUCGUUCUCUGGGCUCUGAGUCUUUGUUGAGGUAUCUCUGUGCCCAGGAUGCUCCUCCCUCUCCCUUUUUUGGCGCCUCCAGGAAGCCUGCCCUGAUGGCCCAGGUUGGCAAUGAACUCUCACUGUCCACUGGCCUGGAGGCUUCAGACCCUCUUCUCUGCCCUUUGGGAAAAUCUGGACAGUUUGUGCUUCUCUGGUCCUGCAGCAUUUCUUCUGUUCAGUAGUAUGGUCAGGGCCUGCCGGACCUGUGGUCUCCUUCUUUCGGAACCCAAAGAUGUGGUUGCUCUGGGCCUUGGGAGGAGAGAGCUGUGAGGAGCUUCCCAGGAUCGGCUUCAGGGCAGACACUGUCUCCUGGUAUGACCCUCCUACCAUUUCCCCAGCUCCUCACCGUGCAUUCGAGGCAAUUCACUUUCCAGGAGCCCCAGGAGGCAGAUCCCACCCUUGCCAGCCCCACCCCUGGGACCAGAGGAGGGCCUGUCUGUGGGCAUCGGUCUGUGGGCGUGGGGCAGGCCCGUCCAAGGAUUUCUCUGAAGCUUCUGUGAGAAGCUCACACCCAAGCAGACCCUGGAGCCCAGGGCUCCUCUCACACAACAUUCCACACGUUUUGCAGAUGAAUGGAGCUGGACAUCGGCCGCUUGGUCAUUGGUGACAUGAACACGCUGGCAGCUGGGGGGUUGUGGGUACCCCACAGCACACGAGCUUCUUGGCCCACAGGGCAAAACCUAUUUUUACCCCCUAGUUCAUUAAUUUUCCCACCUUCAGCACCUUGGCGUCUCUGUCUUUAUUGAGCAAUGCUGGUAAUCCUGAGAAGCAGCGAGUGUGUUGGAAAGAACACUGACCUGAAAAGAACAGACAACCUACUGCCUGGGCCCAUGGCUGCCACUCACUAGGCCUCAGUUUCCUCAUCUGUAAAAUGGCUCUGUGGCUCUGGGUACAGAUGAUGAAAUCACAGGAGGGAAGAGGCAGGAAUGGGGCCCACAAUGCCUUUAGGUCCGAAAGGGCAAAGACGCGUCUGCCUUCCUGAAGCAUGAAGCUCAGUAAGGUGAAGGGGCAGCUCUUGUUGCCACGACCCUGGCAGGCCUUCAAAAAGCAAUCUGCCCUCUUUAGGGGGUGAAUUGGGGCAGGAGACAGCUUGGAGAGGAGCCACGUGGUUGCUGUGUAGAGCAGUGGGGGCGUGCUCCCCACCACACCCCCUCCUGCAAGAAGCCAGUCCAAGGAAGGAAGGAAGCCGGUUGUCUGGAGGCUGCCGGAGGGCCAUCAAGUGCUGCCGCAGCCAGAUUAAAGAUUUUCUCCGGGUAUUGUCUUCCCAUUAGCAGCUGAGCCCUGAGGGUGAUUCGGGCAGAGACCACAGAACCAGGGACCGGGAGCUCAGUGUCAUUUCCCCUCCGAUCAGUCACAGGCUGAGUAAAGACAACUCAGCAGAUGGAUGAGCAGACCCCCUACGGCUCCCAGCAUCCCAAGGAGGGCCCUGCUGAGAAGGUUGAGAUAGCCGGGGAACCGAGUCGGUCCUUCCUGCCGGCCUCCGCCAAGGGGAGGAGAGCCCUGGCUGGAAGGGGGCCCUGCCAUCCCCUAAAGUCACCGGUGUCUAAUGCCAAUGCUCUUGGACAGCCUUUGGCCACCAACAGAGAGAGGCACGCUCUUUCACAAAUAGAUACCACAUACAUGGGAAGAGUGGGUACACGCUUAGGUUACAGUGACAAUGAG